CUCUUGUGUAUGUGUUAUUAAGAUAUUGUUUCAGUAGUGAAUUUGAAAUCUUUCUUAAUUUAUUUUUAAUUCCUGAUCAAUUAUUUGUAAUUCGAAAGCAGUUUUUUUGAUUAGCAGAAUCUAAUUGUAUUCUGAUUAGCAGAACAUAAUUUCUAACAAUAAGAAGGGAGAUAACCCAGUCUUUAUAUAUAUAUAUAUUUCAUUCUUUUCCCCUAUCUCAAGGUCCCAAUGAACACCAAGCACCCAAGACCAGAGGUGUGUCCUGGAUUGCAGGGCAGUGAUGCAGCAAAGCAAACGCACAGGAGUGAGCUGCAGAACUUGAAUGUUUGGGACUACAUUCAAGGAGGCAAUUAGGCACCUAAUUCCCAAAUUAUGUACUUCAAAAACCCUCAUCAGCCAAUGCUCAGUCUUGGAAGCACCAAUUCUUAACACUUUGGGCUGCUGCAGGUGCACUUCCUGAAUGUUGCACUGAAUGUUGCUCAGAUCUUUGUAUGGCCAAGCAGCUCAUUGAUUAAUGUGCCCCUGAGACCCAUCAGUGCAGGUUAACUGGGCGUUUCUCUGUGAGAGUUCCUUACAGUUAUGAUGGUUGUGCAUGUUUGUGGCCAUCUAAAAGAAAACAAAGUCUAGAUUAAAGAGUACUGAAGUGCCUGUAAUGUGAACUAUGCUGCUCGUUUUUAUUUAUUUAUUUAUUUAUUUAUACAUCUGGUUCAUAGCAUCAGAGCAAGCACUUGUAUCGAUUUUUCACUUCCUUCUCAAUUCACCGUCUUCAAGAUAGGUCUUAGACUAAAACUUUUUGAAAUGAUUUCUCGGAGUCUAGCAAAAAAAAAAAAAAAUGAAGUCAUGUGUAUCAAACGUGUUAUCAAGUAAUUACUAGAACUGCCAAGCACAGCAUGAUACCUACAGAGAGUAACACCCAGUAUUUCACAUAUGAAAUGUGGUGACUUUGCCCCAUGCUGACUCAGACAGCAAGUACUUCUGAAACCAGUGACCAAAGUUUCAAGUGUUUACAAAAGAGAAUUUCCUCUAGAAAGGUUUCCAGUCUGUCUGAGGACAGUGCAUAUGUUUGAAAGGUUCUUACUGAAUAAAAUAAAAUAAAAUAAAAUAAAAUAAAAUAAAAUAAAAUAAAUUCAAAUUCAGAUUUAUCUGCUUGGUCACUGACAUUACAAAGAACAAAUGAGGGCCAUGGAGCUUUUUUCCAUCCAGUUUUCCUUUUGAUGCUACCACUUACAGGGGUGCAAAUGAAAAUCAUAGACUUAACAUACCUAUAGAACACCAGAGGUUUUGUUGGCUAUCAUGCCACAACCACCAGAAAAUGGAUUAGAGUAAAACACAGGCAGUAAUCCUGUGGGAGUGUAUUUAUAAGAUAUUGGAAGGUUAAUUAUUGGCAUGAUUUGAAUCAGAGUCUGACCCUGUGCCAGAGGGGUGUUGAUGAGGGGGUCUCUGAGUUCCUGCUGAAGCCCACUGGUGAAAAGAGCUUGUUGUCCCUCAGCAGCAGGUAACACCUCCUGAAAACAAAUGUGAGGGACACGCUUAGCUCCUGUGCACAUUUAUUUAGCAACAUAUGUUACAAUCAUCUGCCAAAAUAAAAAUAAUCAAUCCGUGUUGACAGCAGGACCUGCCAGCUUGGUUUGUUGGAUAUUUAUUACCCACGCUGCCAGCAGGCAGCAGAUGUACAGUAUGUUUCUACUACUGACUAAUCACUGAAUAGGAAGUCAAAAAGGCUAAAUGAAAAGAAAACAUGAUGAAGCAUCUCCUCACUUAAGUGGUAACUCCUUGUCUUAACCAGAACUCUAUACAUUUGGCAACACCUCUGUACAUCCAUAUCCCUCCCUCAGUGCUGAAAUUUUAGGUCACUUUAUUAUUCUUUUCUGUUAAUUGCUUUGCGACUGACAGGCUUUGAAGCAGUGCAUUUUUCUCUUAUCAUACAAGCUGGAAAAGCGCCCAAAGCAUUAGCUCAUCAGCCAGCCAUUUGUACCUGCUGCUCACUGUCUGCUACUACUAAAUAUAUGCUAAUGAUGCUAUCUGAAUCUUGGGAGGAUCGGGAUGAGUUUGUAAAUUGUGCUCACGCCAGGAAAAUGAAUGCUACUUGCAAAGAUGACAAAGAAAGCAGCUGCUUUUAGAUGAGAUGAAUCACCACAUUUCAUAUUACUCUGGGGAAUGGGAGGAUAUGAACUGAACAUCCCAGGGAGUUGCCUGGCUGUGACCUUUGUAGACAAACUAUUUUAUCUCUUCCCUGGUUCUGCCCCAGGAGUUGUCAUCCACAGGAAUACCUCAAGGUCAAAGUACAACUUUCUUACCAGUAAAAACAAGACGCUGAAGUCACAGUGGGGUGACCAACAGGAAAUUUUGGCCACGUCUGAAAGAGCUGCACUUCCAUUUGGGAAGAGAUGUGUUUAUAUGUUAAACUGAGAUCAACUGCAAGAAAUACUGCUGUGCAGCUGGAAACAUCAGAGGACCAGAGGUCUGUUUGAAAUGUCAGGGAAGAGUGGAAAAUUCAUUACAGUUUUGGCAGAAGGAGAUGGAUGUGGGAAGAGAGGGUUUUCAUUACAGAUACCGUCUGAUGGUAGCCUUACCAGGAAAUAGCUGUAUAUUUGUAUUUUUGAAGGCAGGUUUCCAGCCUAAUAAUGCUACUAUUGCUGUCCUUUGAGAGCUGCUAUGCCUCUGAGAAUGCCACGCACUGCACCGCUUGCCAUAAAGGCACAAUUGUGCUGUCAUGCAAAGUGAGGGCUUUGCUCUAACAGAGCACAUCAUCACGCAGCGUGUACGUGGAUACAGACACGCAUGCAGAGUGUGCGGGCAGGGUGCAGAGCAAGCUCACAGGGAAAAGAACCUCGAUUUCAUAUUGCCUUUUAUGUUGCCUGAAAUAUCAGGGCCACGAUUUCAAGUUAUGAAUGCCUGCACUGUUAUAUCCAUGUCACUCCCAUUUGGUGCACUUUGAAAACAUCUGCAUGUGCAAAAUAAAUUCUUAUACAUAAUAAUUGUCACCAGCAGAUGUUUUGUGCACCAUUCUGACUACUGAGCAACAUCUCCUAAUAAAAGCAGAAUCCUAUUGCACAUCCACCCACUGCACAAGUGCAGUUUUCCUUUGUUUUUCUCCAAAUAUGCACAUAAUUUAAAUUUAGUCCUAAUUUGUAGUUUCUUAGAUUCAAAGUUAAUUACAUCAUUCUACACAUAUGCCAGAAGUCCUAUACACAGCACUUUGAGAAAGCACCAGGAUUGAAUGCAGUGUCUUCAGGAUCUGUAUUGAGUGUGGCGGGUUUAGAUGUUUUUCUCAAAA